CUUAUCUCUAGCAACCAACUUCAUUUGUAAGAUGUCAAUUACAGGACUGAUUUUUCUGGGAGACUUAGAAUCAUUAGAUAAUGACCAUGAGCCAAAGAUUCACUUUUGAGUUUGGUACGCACUGCUUGAAGGCUGGGUAUGACUAUAUGAUUGUUUUUUUUUUUUUUUCUCUCCCAGUUUGAACACAUUAAUUGGCAGAAGUUUCCCCUGUGAUCUUCCAGUACAACAUUCUUCCUGCAGCCACACCUGACCAGUGGGAGGACUGACUAAAUUCUUCAUCCUCUCCAUCCCAUGCCUUUACGUCUGCUGUGUCUCCCACGUGUUCGUGGAUCGUGCCUGAGGCUGGGACAGACAACUCACAACCAUGAAGAAAAGGCAAAGAGAAUCACAAAGAUGCCAGCCCAACGCUGGGAAGCUACUAGCCUACACCAAUGCUAACAACCAUCCAUUUAUGACUUCUUGUCAUGUGAGGAGAAUGAACCUUCUGUGUUUGGAAAAACGAAGGCUCAGAGACCCUGGAUCACCCAGUGAGUAAGCAGCAUGCCCAGGUCUAGCAUACCAUUCUCCUGCUUUCAGCUCUUGUAUGCUAUCCACAUGCUUACAGCAUGCUUGGACAAUGCAGAAACUCAGCUUUGGUACUUUGGGUAAUCUGUUCAUCUGUGAAAUGGGAUAACUCAUGCUGAUCUACGGACAAAAAUAACUGUAAGGAUGACAUGAAAUGAUGCAGAUAGCAGGCACUCAAAAAACAGAGCUCUAUCAACAUUCCUGCUUCCUCUCAAUGACUGGCACUGAACCGUCCUUAACACCCCAUUUCUAAGCCAAGAGAUUCUUCAAGACCAAGCCAAGUCUGCCGUGCCACUGUCCCCCGCAGGAGCCUCUGGCUUCAUCAAGCCCACAGAUCCACAGUUGCUUUGUUCGCCGAGUGACAUUUCUAUCAGGCACCACCUUGGGCUGGUCACAGAAACUUCGUAGGAGCCAUCAGUCCUGGAGCUCAGUACCCCAGGGUUGAUGCCUUGACAACUGUGUCACCACUCUCUUAUUACCUAUCUGGAGGGUCACCUUUCUGACAGACAGCUUUGAAAAUUCUUUAUUAAACUUUUUUUUUUUUUUAGUAGAAAAGACAGAUUAUAGUUCUGACAUGCUCUACUUAUUAUGACAUGAAACAAUGUUCUUAUUUCUUUUGCUUGGGGAUGUUGAACUGCUGGCUUUGGCCCAUGUGGGGUGUCACAAUGAUGUAUUAGUUAUUAGGUCAGACUUUCCGUAACCUUUACGUAUUCAUUUAUUCACUCACUCACUCACUUACUCACUCACUCACCUAUACAUUUGAAAGUCUACUGUGAACCGGGUCUAACAGAGGUUAGACAUUUAGUGGAUUACACAAAAAAAACAAAACAUUUACCCUCAGUCUUUGAUCUGAGGAUGUCCCAGUUUAAUAGGCAAUGCAAGGGGGCAAAAAAGAUAAAAUUUUACCGCCGUGGUAAGUGAAAUAAAAGACCUAUGUGUUGUACUUGGUAACAUAACUUUGGCAGGAUGGAAACCAGAAUUGGUAGUGUAUCUGUAGAGUGGGGUGCCUGGUUCACUCUGGAUGAUGACAGGUGGUACAGCAGCAGAGGCUGAAGACUAGAUUUUGUUGGAAUACUCUAUAAUCUGUGUAUAGGAGAAGGAAGAGGAGCUGAUCAUUCACAGUUGAAAUAAGCUGGUGACAGGUACUCCUCUCCAAAAGAAGGCCUGGGUGCCAGAUUUUGGGCUCAGAGUGACUUAAUAGUUCUGAUACACAUUUGAUAAAUAAUAUCACAAAGGCACCACUGAACAUCUGAAUAUAUGAACAGAGAGCUAUGAAAAAGGUAGUGACUAACCCUGCCAGGGGAGGUGUAGGAAGUGCCCCAGAAAAUAUGAUAUUUGAAGAGGGCAUUAAGCAUUCAGAGGGCAUUAAGCAUCCAUGAGAAGCGGAAGUAUGGCAUCUGAGCAGAGCAAAGGUGAAGGUGACAUGCUCUGAGAAGGAUGAGGAUUUCUUCAGAACAAAGUAUGAUUGGGGGCUGGGGUGGGAGGUGAAGCUCAGGGCACGUUGGGACCAUUUUAACACCAGGUCAUGGAGUCCAGGCUUUCUCUUCAGUAGGACUUGCUGGGCUGGUGGCUGGUUUAUGCAGAGGAGUGUUAUGAGAGACUGGAGUGCAGACAAAUCUCUCUGCGGGCGGUAUGGGUUUAUGGGAGGGUAGACUGAAAGCUCAGAGACACAAGGCAAAGAAACAGGUCAGGUGGCUACUACAACCACCCAAAAAGAGAAGCUGGGAGACCUUCCCUCAGGUUUCAAUCCAGCUAAGGCCAGUAAAACCCAUGUGUUCAUUUAGGAGACUCUUGUAUAUUUAUUAAAUAAAUAAACAAAAGAGAAAAGGCCAGGGAUCAAUGAGUUUCUUAAACAAAAAUUUAAAAGGCAAAACUAAGAUAUGUUAAAUAACACCUAGUAGAAUUUAAAGUGUACAUACUUUGUGGAAUAAAUGCAUAAAGACAUCAGAAAUAAUCAAGUAUGGAAUAAGGGUAUGGGUCUAGUGAAACAGGGCACUGAAAAAGCUGUAAACUUCCCAGGCAGAAACCUCUGCUCUCAUCCUGAGUCUGUUUUCAUUUAUGUAUCAUGUGAUAUCAUGUAUCAUGUGCAAUACAUGUGAUUAGUAAUUUGACUCACCCCCUCAGUAAAAGUCACAGUUCCUGUUUACCGAGCACCUGCUAGGCUUAAUCAUGCACAAUGCUCAGGAUACCACCUAUAUUAUCUCAGCCAAUCUGAACAACAAUGGCAAAGCAGGCUUUAUCAGGCCUGAGGUUCAGAGAGUUUAGGGAUUUACCCAAGGUUGCGGAGCAGUCAGCAGAAUUGAGAUUUGACCCUGAUCUAUCCAGCUGUGGAAAGAUUCUCUGCGACGGUACAUCCUCUGCGAUGGUGCGCCCUAGAAUGUCACUUGACUAAGAACAAAUAACAACAAAAGAACUCACCUACGUUCCUUCUAACUAAAGGAUGUGUUUAUUAUUUCCCCUUUCUAACACCACACUCCACAGAACUACUUAUCUACAUUUAUUUAACAAGGCACAUAACUUACAGGGCAGUAGAAACCACAGAAGAAAGCCAGAAAACCAGCCAGAUAGAUGGCUGCUGAAACAAUUCAAGAGAGACAUGAUGAUCUACUAUAAUGGCGGUGGAGAACAGAUAGAAAUAAGAAGUCUGUGGCUCAGAGAGACAAAGAGUUUUUUUUAAAAACACACAGCAAACAAGAAGCGGAAUCAGGAUUUGACUCUGUAUCCAACUGACACCCAAACACCAAAUUUUCCAUCAUCUAUGCUUGUUGAAGUUUUUAAUGUAAUAUUCACUCAAUUCCUUUUUAAUAUGCAAGAACUCACAGAAACCCACACAGCCUCCAUAGGAGAACUGGUAUUUAAGCAGUCUCUGCAAAAUCAUAAUAAGGAGGAGGUAAAAGACCAUUCCACUGAAGAGGAGAUGGAAAAAAAGGAGUUUUAGAAAUCUCUCUGCAUGAAUAGAGGAUCUGUUAUUAAAGGCUAUUUUAGGAAGCAAGAAUGGAAGAAUCUGCUCCUCUCCUUUCCCAUUUCCUGGUUCUUGCAUAUCCAUCAAGGAAUCCAUCCAAUGGGCCCUUUGACACAGCUGGGAUAAUGCAGGAAAUCAGCAUUAUUCUUAGCUUACUGAAUGAAUGAUAUGGUGAAGACUCAAAAGCAGAGUCUCCAAGGGAAAUUUAAAAAAGCAUGGAAGUUUUAGGUGGGAGAAUGAAUGACUCAGCAUGCAUGUUAGAAGACUUUCAAGUAUUUGGAGGGUUCUCAUUUGGAAGGUGUAAAACCAGGACAACAACUCUGAAGAAGAUUAGAUUUCCUCUUAGGGUUCAUAUGUAGAAAUCACCAAGAAACAAGAUUCUUCAGAACUGACAUGAGAGAAGAACUUCCUCAAUCACAUGGUGGAAGGCAAUGAGCUGCCUGUAACGGGAAAUACUCCAAUAAAGGUGGUGUGACCACUUGGUGGAGAUGUUGUAGAGAAAAUUCAAGAACUGUAAAGGCCUUUAAAAUCCCUGACAUCGCAGGCUCCUCUGAUUCUGGGAGCUGCACUGAAUCCAAAUGAAUAAUACUAAAACCAUAUUUACCAUAGUCAUUAUCAUGUCUCUAGACAUCUGAGGAGAUGGAUGUUGUCUUUACUGUUUAGAUGGGAGCAUCUAGUCAGGAAUAGAAUCCAAUCACACUAGGAACCAAAUGGACUAGCCACUGAGGUAUAGCAAAUCAGAGUCCCUUAGGGGAGAAGAUGAGUCAUAGAUCAUAAUCCUCACUGGUGUUGUUACAGUCUUCCUGCGCUACAUAGCAUUGAAAUAGGCUGGAAAUGUUCUGUCCUUGGGGUGAUAAAAUAUUCCUUGGUAAGCACACAGAUUCAUUUUCCUAAAGCAAAUGAAUCACUUGUGCUUUUCUUCUCAUAUUUUUUAUCAACAGGGUAAGAACCCUGCCUGUGAAAAAAUCUGUCUAAAAAAUAAGUGUAUAUUUCAAGAGGGACUAUACAAAGAGUAAACACAUGGCAGGUCUCAUGCCAGAGGUCAAACCAGGUUCAACAUAUUUGCAUAUUUUGAUGGGAGCUGUAGAAUAAGGACUACCAAAAUGUACACUUGUUGUGUCAACCCUAAGGGUCUAAAUUUGAACACAAACGGCUUUAGGUAUUGAAGGGAAAACUGUUGCCCAAAGUAUGAAUUCUAUCUAAUAACUCAAUCCUCUAUUGUUUCCCUCUUGGGGUUUAGUAUGCCCACACUGAGAUUUGAAUGCUAAAUCUAGGUCAAACAGAAAUUUGCUCAAGUAUUCCCAGUUCUGAGGACUCGGAAGCUGCUCUGAAAACACUUGUGCUGAAUGACGGCAUUUUACAGAGGCAAUAUGCACUGCAUCUAUUCUUUGAAAAAAUUUUUUUGAGUUCUUUCUCUAUGUCAAGUAUUCUGCUGGGCCUAGGAAUGGGGAGGAUGAGGUAUGGGCCCUUCCUUCAACUAGCUCAUAAUGGUGUGCAGACAGAUUUACAGUGAUAUAAUUCAGUGUUUUUAGUGCUGCAAGAGAGGUAUUUAUAAUGAACAAUGGUUAUGUAAAGAAAGGAAAAAUUGACCAUUUGCUCUGUGUAUUUGGGGGGAAGGUGAGGUUUGUAGGAAAAAGUUUAUCAAAAGAGUUAACAUGUAACCUGUAAGCUGGAUGUUGAAGUUUAUCCUUUCUUAUAUAGGUGAAAGAUGGGACAGUAUUCCAGAGAGAAGGAGGAGAAUAUGCAAAUGUGCCAUUUGUGGAAAAGUGUAUAUAUUUAGGAAAAUGUUAAUAUGGCUAGUCCAUGGGGUUGUACAGGAGACGGGGCUGGGAAGUAGGAGAGGAGAGUGAGUGAUUUUUUUUUACAAACAUGAUCCUUUGGCUAUGGGGAAGAAAAACAAAUACAAAAAGGUUUUAAAGAGGAAAGAGACAUGAUCAGGUUUUAUGAUUUAUAAAUGUAUGUGUCCAUACAGGGAGACUGGAUUGCAAGGGAAAAAAUGGAAUCUGGAAGCAUGAUUAAAAGUUGAUUACAAAAUUUAUAAGUUGGGUAAAAUCUAGUGGUGGUAAGCCUAUGGAGAAACAGAUAUUCUCAUACACUUUUGGUAGAAACGUAAAUUGGUAUAACUUUUUGGAAGACAAUUUGCUAACAUGUAGCAACUUCACUUUUAGCAUUUAUCUUAUAGAUAUAUUCACACACACACAAUGUGACAUUUAGUUGACAACCUAAAUGUCCAUCAAUAGGGAACUACAUUUAUACAAUGUAAUAGGCUGAAAUCAUAAAAGCAGAAUGAGGUGGAGAUUUACAUAUAGAUAUGGAAAAAUGGUGAAGGUCUAUAGUUAAGGGAAAAGUAUGAUUUGCAGUACAGGUUAUAGACAAACAGAUUGGCAGACAGAUAGACAUAAAAUUGGUAACCAUCGUGUUAAAAAUAACUAGAAAAGCUAAGUCAAAACAAACAAACAAAAAUAUAGUUUGAAGGAAGUGGAGACCUUCCAAGUCAUUGAAAAAUUAUAGGUCUAAGAUCCUGGAAAACAAAGAGAUUGGGAGAAACAAGCCUGGUAUUUGAAGUAGCUUUUU
rnacentral:lncRNA from 10 species